rnacentral:rRNA from 1 species
UGGGGAAUUUUGGACAAUGGGGGCAACCCUGAUCCAGCCAUGCCGCGUGAGUGAAGAAGGCCUUCGGGUUGUAAAGCUCUUUCGGCCGGGAAAAAAUCGCCUCUCCUAAUACGGGGGGUGGAUGAUGGUACCGGACUAAGAAGCACCGGCUAACUACGUGCCAGCAGCCGCGGUAAUACGUAGGGUGCGAGCGUUAAUCGGAAUUACUGGGCGUAAAGCGUGCGCAGGCGGUUUUUUAAGACAGGCGUGAAAUCCCCGGGCUUAACCUGGGAACUGCGCUUGUGACUGGAAGGCUAGAGUACGGCAGAGGGGGGUGGAAUUCCACGUGUAGCAGUGAAAUGCGUAGAGAUGUGGAGGAACACCGAUGGCGAAGGCAGCCCCCUGGGCCGAUACUGACGCUCAUGCACGAAAGCGUGGGGAGCAAACAGG